ACUCCUGGACAAGCCUCAUGCCUGGUCUCCACCUGCCAGCUCCUUCCCGGAAGGCGCCGCAGUACCCCGCCACCCGCCCUUCAAAUGACCGCCUGGCUGCAAGGUGUGAGCGAGUUAAGUGCGCCUUGCCUCCCCGUGUCUCCGGGAGCCCCGUGUAGCAGGCGUGGCGGUGGCAGGAACAGCAUCUCUCCUCCAUCCAUUGGGCAAACAUUUUUGGAGCCAGACGCCGUGGGGACCUUGGCGCUCGCCAGCUCCGGAAGCUCCGUGCUGCCCUGGGGUGCAGCUGAGCCCAGGGCUAACCGGAAGCAGCCUGGAGGACCUUGACCGCUCACAGAUAACCAGGAAAGCCAGACAAGAAGGACUACUUCUUCCAGGAGCCAUGAAGGUCAGGAGCAGAGGGUUGCCAGACUGAUGGCAAGAAAACUGUGUCAGACAUAGUGCGUCUGGACUUCACUGAGGAAUGUGACAAGGCAUCUUAUGUCCUUGUGAACAAGAUGGACAAAUGUGGCUGGGUGACCGUGUAAUUAAGUGGAUUGAACCACUGUCCCCAAAGGGUGCUGAU